rnacentral:piRNA from 1 species
CAGAAAAGGAGUUAGAACAAAUGCCAUG